UACGUAGGGUGCAAGCGUUGUCCGGAAUUAUUGGGCGUAAAGAGCUCGUAGGCGGUCUGUCGCGUCGGCUGUGAAAACUCGGGGCUCAACUCCGAGCCUGCAGUCGAUACGGGCAGACUAGAGUGCUGUAGGGGAGACUGGAAUUCCUGGUGUAGCGGUGAAAUGCGCAGAUAUCAGGAGGAACACCGAUGGCGAAGGCAGGUCUCUGGGCAUUAACUGACGCUGAGGAGCGAAAGCAUGGGGAGCGAACAGG
rnacentral:rRNA from 1 species